GAGGGUGUAGCUCAGUGGCAGAGCGCAUGCUCAGCAUGCACAAGGUCCUGGGUUCGACCCCCAGUACUUCCA
rnacentral:tRNA from 1 species